rnacentral:rRNA from 1 species
GACGAACGCUGGCGGCAGGCCUAACACAUGCAAGUCGAGCGGACCUUUCGGGGUCAGCGGCGGACGGGUGAGUAACGCGUGGGAAUAUGCCCUUCUCUACGGAAUAGUCCUGGGAAACUUGUGGUAAUACCGUAUACGCCCUUUGGGGGAAAGAUUUAUCGGGGAAGGAUUAGCCCGCGUUGGAUUAGGUAGUUGGUGGGGUAAUGGCCUACCAAGCCGACGAUCCAUAGCUGGUUUGAGAGGAUGAUCAGCCACACUGGGACUGAGACACGGCCGAGACUACUACGGGAGGCAGCAGUGGGGAAUCUUAGACAAUGGGGGCAACCCUGAUCUAGCCAUGCCGCGUGAGUGAUGAAGGCCUUAGGGUUGUAAAGCUCUUUCAGCUGGGAAGAUAAUGACGGUACCAGCAGAAGAAGCACCGGCUAACUCCGUG